rnacentral:rRNA from 1 species
GACGAACCGUGCGAACGUUGUUCGGAAUCACUGGCUUAAAGGGCGCGUAGGCGGGCUGCCAAGUCUGGGGUGAAAUCCCACGGCUCAACCGUGGAACUGCCUCGGAUACUGGCGGCCUCGAGGGAGGUAGGGGCGUGCGGAACUGUGGGUGGAGCGGUGAAAUGCGUUGAUAUCCACAGGAACUCCGGUGGCGAAGGCGGCACGCUGGACCUUUUCUGACGCUGAGCGCGAAAGCCAGGGAGCAAGCGGG